AUGAAGAGGCUGCUGUGCUCUCUGCUGGGGCUGCUGUGCACCCAGGUUUGCUGUGUGAAAGGUCAACAAGUGAAGCAGAGUCCUGUGUCCUUGGUCCUGCAGGAGGGAGAGCAUGCAGAGCUGCAGUGCAACUUUUCCACCGUUUUGAACAAUGUGCAGUGGUUUCACCAAAGUCCUGGAGGACAUCUGAAGAGCCUGUUUUACAAUCCCUCUGGAACAAAGCAGAGUGGAAGACUGAAGUCCACGACAGUCACUCAGGAACGUCGCAGCUUUUUGUACAUUUCCUCUUCUCAGAGCACAGACUCAGGCACUUAUUUCUGUGCUAUGAGUGCACAGUGCUCCCCACACACCUGCAGCAAGUACACAAACCUGCAGCUGGUGGGUGUGGCUCUUCCCUAUCAUAUGACAUCAAAAUUUCACCACAGUUUAUCUGCUUGA